CAAACAUAAAGAAAUGGAGAGAGUGCAAAAUCGAGAGAGUGCAGGAGAAAAGCUUCUGCUCUAAUGGCGGCGCAUUCUAAGGCAGCCACCUCCGCCGUUCUCGUGCUGCGACUGCCCUCAGGCCUCGAUCUUUAGCGGAUCCCUUCUGGUGGCUGAUACAGAUGAAGUGGAAACCAAACUUGAGAGUGGAAGCCAUCAAACUAUUGACCUUGAUUUGCCGAUUCCCAUCGGGUGGCUGAUACAGAUGAAGUGGAAUCCAAACUUGAGAUUGGAAGCCAUUAGACUAUUGGCCUUGAUUUGCGGAUCCCUUCUGGUGGCUGAUACAGAUGAAGUGGAAACCAAACUUGAGACUGGAAGCCAUCAGACUAUUGACCUUGAUUUGGUAAGUCUGUUUGAGAGGUUAGCGAUGUUUUCGCAAAUUUUCUGCAAUUAGUUGCUAGUGGUCUUUCCUUUACUAGCACUUUGGUUUGGAAAAGUUUUGGCUUUGAUCGGCAACUCGGACUCUACUACUCUAAGAGCAGUUAAUGCUAGUGAAGAUGAUAUAGUUGUCGACUUGCAUCCAUUCACAAUGACACACUAGCUUGCAUGUCUAUCGGGCUCAAGUAUUUCUAAGUAUGAGCCUUGUGGUUUCUUCAAGACAUCGACAGCCAUUAGCUUAAGAAUAAAUCUAGCCUAUCAUAAAUAAGAAUACUCUGUUUGUAGUACUUCGGUUUCCAGUGAAAAACGCCUAUUGUUUAUACUCCUCUUUUUAUUUUUUAUUAAAAUUACCUAUUGCAAUUC